GUCAGUGCAGAAUAAAAGAAAUAAUUAGAGAAAAGUUGAGGAUUUUAAAAGCAAGCAGGAAGUCGAUUUCUCUCUUCUUUAUGUGGUAAGUUUCCAUGGCGAGAAGUGGUUUUUGGUUUUGUCAAGCUGGGUUUUUCGUCACUCCUCUUUUUUUUGUCAGCUGGUUUCUGUCUCAACGUCACACACACACGCAUACACACACGCAUACAUACCAGUUUAAUUAGCCAUCAUUUAUCUCAGUUUUCCCUCUUUUUCCACUGUUUAUCCAAACGUCAGGAAUGACACGGGCCAAUUAGUGCAAUGAAAUAGUUUAACCCUCUGUAACACUUGGAGCAGUGCACACCAAGGGGGAUAUUUGCCUCGGAGCUCAAGGACGCGAGGGGUUCUAACAAAAGAAAACAGAAGAAAUAAAGCACAGGAGUAAGAUACUAGUGUUGUUUUUCCUCGAUUAUUAAGUCUGUAUAUUUUGUAUUUUUAUUUCAGGUUCAUCACACAAAAGAAGUGUUCUUUUUUGUGGGGAGGGGCACAAAAUGUGUGAUAAUGCGACGGAGAGUAUCAUUAUUUGAAGUUUUGUCAUUAGUGGCGGGCUAAAUUGACCCUAAGAUUGCCUAGCACUUCAAAAACACAGAAAUCCAGGGUAACAGCUGGAUAAUAGUUGCAGCAGUGAUUUACUAAUUGUCUCCAGGAUUCAGAUUAAUAAUUGGCAAAAGCUUUAGCACAAGUGCACAUCUAAGUACUCUUUGUCACUCACUUGUAUCUUCAGGAAAAAAAAAAAAAAAAAAGCGCAAAAGGCGGCUGAGACGAUAUCAUUAACAGUCUCUCCAAAUUGAAACAGUCAUCAAGAGUGUCUUUUAAAUGUCUCCGGGAGCUUCUUUUUUUUUUUUUUUUCUCCUCCGUUGAGUGCAAAUGACAUCUCGCUCAUUUUGCUGGUGGCAACAUGACUGAUGUGUUGAAUAAGAAAGUCCGUUUUGACGCGUUUGAAGGCUGCGGGUUUUUGAAGUAUAUGAUUCUGAAGUGCCGGCAUAUGCUUAGCGAGAUAAGUCAUUUGACACGCAGACAUCACAGCCCUGCAAAUCUUUCGUCUGGCUGCCUUGAGUGUCCACGUCGGGCGCUUUUUCAAGAACACUUUGCGACUGUCACAACUGACUGUCAAGCGCGCAAAUGACACACGCAAACGAGCUUCAUUCUGAACACAGAUUAAGACAGCUGUCAUAUCAAAAAAAAAUAUCAAUUCAUCCGGACUAAAAAUACAGUUAAUUUCAUCUCGGGCGCUUUAAAAAAUUAAUUUGCUAUUUAGGCACCAAAGAAUCCUCCUUUUUAGCAUCAGUUUGUUCAUUAGAGUAAUUAAAUUAGCUGCUCGUCCUCGGGAGGGAAACAAGAUUUAACACGGGAUUUAUUGAAAGCAACACGGCAAUAACACAGCUAUUCAGAUGACGGAAGAGCUUCUCCUGCUGGUAUCUUUCCCCGAAUAAGGCAUUUGACUGAGACACAUAAAAACUACUAUACACACAGAGACAGAGUGUAUGUUUACACACUAACGCACGCACACACAUGUGUAGACAGGGGGUCAGAGCAGCAAACGAAGUCGCUGACAUCGUGGCACUUCUUUGGCAGCGUUAUGCAGGUGUUGUCUGCACACAGGCUUCGGAAUAAAUGGAUCUGAAAUGAUUUACCUAGGGUAUCAGCCACCUGAGCACAGACACACACAGACACACACAGACACACACUUCUUCCCUCCCUCUUACUGAGACGCUGACGCAGACACAUACCAAACACCGGGAGGGGGAAAAAAAAAAGGAAGAAAUCUGGCAGAGGAGCAUCCUAUUGUGUCGUCCUGACUCACAUUAUCUGACAAAUGCACAGAUUCACCAAUGUGAGCUUCAUCCCACAGGUUACACUCUGCUUCUGCGAUUUGAGCUGAUUUAUACACAUUUUGUUUUCAGACAUAAUGGAAAAUAUGACUGAGGUCAUGCUUAGUGUAGCUCAUCCUCUGACCUCAGCUUCUUCAGCCACGUCUGCAACAUAUUAAGUGAAAUAUCCACCAUUACACGCUAACCGCUAGCGACGGCUCUGCACAGGCAGCAGCACAGAGAGCGAGUGGCUCAGGGCGAGACAUCCGGAUCACGGCCGCUAUUGUCGCUUAUAAGCCACUCGCAAUCAUCCUGAGGAAAGGAACACCUUGUGUUUGUUGUGUGUGUGUGAGAAGAAAAAAUACAGUGUAUGUACAUCAAUAAAUAACACUGAAUUUGUACUGUUGUUCAAGCUGUGCAGCCAUAAAAUCAGCUGGAUAUGA